AUAAAAGUCACCUUGCAUCUCAUUAAAAUGCAGAUCCUAAUGCAAUAUAUCUCAGUAGGGCCUGAGAGUUUGCAUUUCCAACAAGCUCCCAGGUGACUUGAAC
rnacentral:miRNA from 1 species